GGUCUUAUGGCGCAAUUGGUUAGCGCGUCCGGCUGUUAAACACUCUAACAUCCUCCGAGGGCAUUUGGAAUUGAGUUUAACAAUUACCGGGAGGUUGAAAGUUCGAGUCUUUCUAGGACCG